rnacentral:rRNA from 1 species
UACAGAGGGGGCAAGCGUUAUUCGGAAUUACUGGGCGUAAAGCGCACGUAGGCGGCUUUCUAAGUCGGGGGUGAAAUCCUGGAGCUCAACUCCAGAACUGCCUUCGAUACUGGAGAGCUUGAGUCCGGGAGAGGUGAGUGGAACUGCGAGUGUAGAGGUGAAAUUCGUAGAUAUUCGCAAGAACACCAGUGGCGAAGGCGGCUCACUGGCCCGGUACUGACGCUGAGGUGCGAAAGCGUGGGGAGCAAACAGGG